AAUAUUUUAGUUGGAGUCGACUCCAAACACGGAUGAGUCGACUCAUUCACAUUGUGUAUCGACCCAUAUCUCCUAUGCAUCAAUACUUUUAGGGCAUAAACUUUAUUUUUAAAAAUCAUUCAGUAUGUAUCGACCCAUAGGCUUGAUGUAUCAACUUAUAAGCUUGUUUUUAAUAAAAAAUCAUAAUUUUGAAUCCAUUGAACACAACAAUGUUAUAAUUCCCUAUGACU
rnacentral:lncRNA from 1 species